CCUACGGGAGGCAGCAGUGAGGAAUAUUGGUCAAUGGUCGGGAGCCUGAACCAGCCAAGUCGCGUGAGGGAGGAAGGUCCUACGGAUCGUAAACCUCUUUUAUCAGGGAACAAAGACCGGGACGUGUCCCGGGUUGUAUGUACCUUAUGAAUAAGGAUCGGCUAACUCCGUGCCAGCAGCCGCGGUAAUACGGAGGAUCCGAGCGUUAUCCGGAUUUAUUGGGUUUAAAGGGUGCGUAGGCGGUCUUUUAAGUCAGCGGUGAAAGUCUGUGGCUCAACCCGCGACUCGCCGUUGAAACUGGGAGGCUUGAGUUUGUUUGAGGUAGGCGGAAUGCGUGGUGUAGCGGUGAAAUGCAUAGAUAUCACGCAGAACCCCGAUUGCGAAGGCAGCAUGCC
rnacentral:rRNA from 1 species